rnacentral:rRNA from 1 species
AUUGAACGCUGGCGGCAGGCCUAACACAUGCAAGUCGAGCGAGCGGCGGACGGGGGAGGAAUGUCUGGGAAACUGCCUGAUGGAGGGGGAUCACUACUGGAAACGGUAGCGAAUACCGCAUACCAUCGGAUGUGCCGAGAUGGGAUUAGCUAGUAGGGGGGGUAACUGCUCACCUCGGCGACGAUCCCUAGCUGGUCUGAGAGGAUGACCAGCCACACUGGAACUGAGACACGGUCCAGACUCCUACGGGAGGCAGCAGUGGUGAAUAUUGCACAAUGGGCGCAAGCCUGAUGCAGCCAUGCCGCGUGUAUGAAGAAGGCCUUCGGGUUGUAAAGUACUUUCAGCGGGGAGGCGUUACCCGCCGAAGAAGCACCGGCUAACUCCGUGCCAGCAGCCGCGGUAAUAC